rnacentral:rRNA from 1 species
AUUGAGCGCUGGCGGCAGGCUUAACACAUGCAAGUCGAGCGGGGUGAUGGUGCUUGCACUAUCACUUAGCGGCGGACGGGUGAGUAAUGCUUAGGAAUCUGCCUAUUAGUGGGGGACAACAUCUCGAAAGGGAUGCUAAUACCGCAUACGUCCUACGGGAGAAAGCAGGGGAUCACUUGUGACCUUGCGCUAAUGGAUGAGCCUAAGUCGGAUUAGCGAGUUGGUGGGGUAAAGGCCUACCAAGGCGACGAUCUGUAGCGGGUCUGAGAGGAUGAUCCGCCACACUGGGACUGAGACACGGCCCAGACUCCUACGGGAGGCAGCAGUGGGGAAUUUUGGACAAUGGGCGCAAGCCUGAUCCAGCAAUGCCGCGUGCAGGAUGAAGGCCUUCGGGUUGUAAACUGCUUUUGUACGGAACGAAACGGCCCUUUCUAAUACAGGGGGCUAAUGACGGUACCGUAAGAAUAAGCACCGGCUAACUACGUGCCAGCAGCCGCGGUAA